GAUGGAACGUAGCGAAAUGCGAUACUUGGUGUGAAUUGCAGAAUCCCGUGAACCAUCGAGUCUUUGAACGCAAGUUGCGCCCGAAGCCAUCAGGUUGAGGGCACGUCUGCCUGGGCGUCACAUAUCGUUGCCCAAUGCCUAUUGCAGUGCAAUAGGAAUUUCUAGGGCGAAUGAUGGCUUCCCGUGAGCGUUGUUGCCUCGCGGUUGGUUGAAAAUCGAGUCCUUGGUAGGGUGUGCCAUGGUAGAUGGUGGUCGAGUUAGAACGAUACCGAUCAUGUGCAUGCUCCCCAAAAUAUGGCCUCUAUGACCCACACGCGUCUUUUGACGCUCAUGACGAGACCUCAGGUCAGGCGGGGCUACCCGCUGAAUUUAAGCAUAUCAAUAAGCGGAGGA
rnacentral:misc_RNA from 1 species